AUCCCUGUAGCGCAAUGGAUAGCGCGUUGACCUUCUAAUUCAAAGGCUGUGGGUUAGAAUCCUCCCUGGGAUG